AAUGCACUUGCAUUACCUCACUGUCCCUUCUGCUUCUGCAUCCAGAGUGGCUGGGGCCCGUGAGGCAAAGCAUUAAGGGGCCUCUAGAAGUCUUCUACAUCAUCUCUCUGCAUAGUUGGCAGAGUCCUCACCAGAGCAUGCAUUCUUGCUCCUUCCCUCAUGCUCAACCUUAAGGGCCCAUCCUGGAGGACAAAACCUGCACCUCUCACACCUGGAGAGAAGACACACUUGCAGGGAAAGUCCACCCUAGUGGACAUAAUGCAAAUUCCUGGUGGGUGCAACAGUGUGUGAAGAGCCAAGGGGAGGUGGCAGCUGUCUGGUGAGCAGUGACUGAAGGAUCUUGCUCCACGCUCCACCCUACUCAAGUCCACCCCUUUAGCAAGAAGCUGCUGCAGGUUCCUUCCACCUUGAGGUUAGUGACAUUACAGUUCUUUCACACUGAGAUGAGAUAGGAAGUGCACAGUUCCAACAAAGAACAGUGGUUUUUC
rnacentral:lncRNA from 1 species